rnacentral:rRNA from 1 species
CCUACGGGGGGCUGCAGUGGGGAAUAUUGGACAAUGGGCGAAAGCCUGAUCCAGCCAUGCCGCGUGUGUGAAGAAGGCCUUCGGGUUGUAAAGCACUUUCAGUGGGGAAGAAAGCCUUGGGGCUAAUACCCUCGAGGAAGGACAUCACCCACAGAAGAAGCACCGGCUAACUCCGUGCCAGCAGCCGCGGUAAUACGGAGGGUGCGAGCGUUAAUCGGAAUUACUGGGCGUAAAGCGCGCGUAGGCGGUCUGAUAAGCCGGUUGUGAAAGCCCCGGGCUCAACCUGGGAACGGCAUCCGGAACUGUCAGGCUAGAGUGCAGGAGAGGAAGGUAGAAUUCCCGGUGUAGCGGUGAAAUGCGUAGAGAUCGGGAGGAAUACCAGUGGCCAAGGCGGCCUUCUGGACUGACACUGACGCUGAGGUGCGAAAGCGUGGGUAGCAAACAGGAUUAGAUACCCCGGUAGUC